UUCCUUUCAGCUUUGUCUAGGUGUUUGACA
rnacentral:piRNA from 1 species